rnacentral:rRNA from 1 species
GAUCAUGGCUCAGGACGAACGCUGGCGGCGUGCCUAAUACAUGCAAGUAGAACGCUGAAGGAGGAGCUUGCUUCUCCGGAUGAGUUGCGAACGGGUGAGUAACGCGUAGGUAACCUGCCUGGUAGCGGGGGAUAACUAUUGGAAACGAUAGCUAAUACCGCAUAACAGUAGAUGUUGCAUGACAUUUGCUUAAAAGGUGCAAUUGCACCACUACCAGAUGGACCUGCGUUG